rnacentral:rRNA from 1 species
ACAGUCUCAGUUCGGAUUGAAGGCUGAAAUUCGCCUUCAUGAAGCCGGAAUUGCUAGUAAUGGCAGGUCAGCAUACUGCCGUGAAUACGUUCCCGGGCCUUGUACACACCGCCCGUCACACCAUGGGAGUUGGGAAUACCCGAAGCCUGUGAGCUAACUUUUAGAGGCAGCAGUCGAAGGUAGAAUCAAUGAUUGGGGUGAAGUCGUAACAAGGUAUC